GGCCAAGCCUAAGGAAAAAAGCCAGAGAAGAUAAAUGGGCAGAUAAUGGUUAGAGGACCAGAGAUCACAGAAUGCUGUGGAAGGAGGUAUGUUUCCAAUGUUAGCACUGAACCCUACACACAAGGAGACGGAACACAGGCAAACAGAAAUGAUUAGUCUCCCCACUAGAAAUAGUUGACAAAGGUACAAUUACUGGGUAAAGAAGAGGACAGAAAAUUCAUUGGCUUAGUGCGUGUUCAAUUAAUUGCUAAAGCAAAAGCAUGUAUAGAAAAGAUCUAUGUAUUUUAUAUUUAAUAUCCCACAUAUAUGUGUAUAUAUGUGUUUAUUUAUAAGUAUGUUUCUUUUACACCCAUUAUGUUUGCUUGGUGCCAUACAUAGGUGAAGUUCAUGAUGGAGAAGGUAGAAACUGAAAAAAUUAAAAUAUAAUUCUUAACCAAUAGAUCUUGUGAACCUUGGGAAAAUCAGCCAACUUCAUAACUCAGUAUACAAACAGAAACUAAUUCUCAUACAACAUGGACUCACAGACAAGAAACAAAAUACUAUCCA
rnacentral:lncRNA from 1 species